rnacentral:rRNA from 1 species
UUGCUUUCUCCGCCGGCGACCGGCGCACGGGUGAGUAACACGUAUGUAACCUGCCCCUGUCAGGGGGACAACCCGCCGAAAGGCGGGCUAAACCCGCGUACAUGCCACCGGGGCAUCCCGGAGGCAGGAAAAGGCUUCGGCCGGACAGGGAUGGGCAUGCGGCGCAUUAGGCAGUAGGCGGGGUAACGGCCCACCUAACCGACGAUGCGUAGGGGUUCUGAGAGGAAGGUCCCCCACACUGGUACUGAGACACGGACCAGACUCCUACGGAAGGCAGCAG